rnacentral:rRNA from 1 species
GAGUUUGAUCCUGGCUCAGAGGAACGCUGGCGGCGUGCUUAUCCAUGCAAGUGGAUUGACGAACCGGGGCUUGCCCCGGGGCACACCCCCUAACGGGUGACUACCACGUGGGUAACCCACCUCGAUGACCGGGACAACCCGAGGAAACUCGGGCUAAUACCGGAUGUGAUCCUCUUUCGUAAGGAAAUGCAUGAAGGAUAGGUUCAUCCUUCACAUCUAGACGGUCCCGCGUCCCAUUAGCUUGUUGGUGCUGUAACGGCCUACCAAGGCUGCGAUGGGUAAUUGGUCUGACAUCACGAUCUCCCACACUGCUACUGACACACGUGCCACACUCCUACGGGAGUGAACAUUGGGGAAUCGUGGACAUGGCGCGAAAGCGUGAUUCAUCAACGCCGCGUGCGGGAAGACCGCCUUCGGCUUGUAAACCCCUUUCAGUUGGUACGAAGCUUCUACGCGUUAAUAUGCGGCCGGAGUGACGGUACCUUCGAAACAAGCCCCGGCUAACUACGUGCCACCUGCCGAUCCUGUACGUAAGGGGCAAGCUGUUGUCCGGAAUCAUUGGAACAUGUCGCGUGUAGGCGGGUCGAUAAGUCUGCUGUGAAUUCCAGGGCUCAACCCUGUGCAUGCCGCGUGGAUACUGUCGUUCUAUAGUACGGAAGACGUGAGUGCAAUUCCCGGUGUAGCGGUGAUAUGCGCAUAUAUCUUCGAGGAACACCAGAGUGCGAACGCUCCCUCGCUGAGACGUUACUCGACGCUGAGACGCGAAAGCGUGGGGAGCAAACAGGAUUAGAUACCCUGGUAGUCCACGCCGUAAACGAUGGGCACUAGGUGUGGGAGGUGUCGACUCCUUCCGUGCCGAAGCUAACGCAUUAAGUGCCCCGCCUGGGGAGUACGGCCGCAAGGCUAAAACUCAAAGGAAUUGACGGGGGCCCGCACAAGCAGCGGAGCAUGUGGUUUAAUUCGACGCAACGCGAAGAACCUUACCUGGGCUUGACAUGUUCCUGAUCCCCCUGGAAACAGGGGUUCCCUUCGGGGCAGGAUCACAGGUGGUGCAUGGCUGUCGUCAGCUCGUGUCGUGAGAUGUUGGGUUAAGUCCCGCAACGAGCGCAACCCCCGUCGCAUGUUGCCAGCAUUUAGUUGGGGACUCAUGCGAGACUGCCGGUGACAAACCGGAGGAAGGUGGGGAUGACGUCAAGUCAUCAUGCCCCUUAUGUUCAGGGCUACACACGUGCUACAUUGGCGCGUACAGAGGGCUGCGAUACCGCGAGGUGGAGCGAAUCCCUUAAAGCGCGUCUCGGUUCGGAUUGCAGGCUGAAACUCGCCUGCAUGAAGGCGGAGUUGCUAGUAAUCGUGGAUCAGCACUGCCACGGUGAAUACGUUCCCGGGCCUUGUACACACCGCCCGUCACACCACGGAAGCAGGCAACACCCGAAGCCGGUGGCCUAACCCCUUUGGGGAGGGAGCCGUCGAAGGUGGGGCCCGUGACUGGGGUGAAGUCGUAACAAGGUAGCCGUAUCGGAAGGUGCGGCUGGAUCACCUCCUUUCU